rnacentral:rRNA from 1 species
GACGAACGCUGGCGGCGUGCUUAACACAUGCAAGUCGAACGGAAAGGCCCUGCUUUUGUUCGUUGCUCGAGUGCCGAACGGGUGAGUAACACGUGUGUAACCUCCCCUUGACUUUGGGAUAACUUCAGGAAACUGGGGCUAAUAUCGCAUAGGAGCUCCUGCUCCAUGGUGGGGGUUGGUAAGUUUCGGCGGUUGGGGAUGGACUCGUGGCUUAUCGGCUUGUUGGUGGGGUAGUGGCUUACCAAGGCUUUCACGGGUAGCCGGCCUGGGAGGGUGACCGGCCACAUUGGGACUGCGGUACGGCCCAGACUGCUACGGGAGGCAGCGGUGGGGAGUAUUGCACAAUGGGCGGAAGCCUGAUGCAGCAACGCUGCGAGCGGGAUGACGGGCUUUGGGUUGUAAACCGCUUUGGCCUGUGACGAGGCGUGAGUGACGGUAAUGGGUAAAGAAGCACCGGCUAACUACGUG